rnacentral:lncRNA from 1 species
GGAAGACAAACUUUUCUUUUUAAAUUUUAUCUUAUAUAUUUGAGGUUGACCACAUGACCUUAAGGAUACAUAUAGACAGUAAACUGGUUACUACAGUGAAGCAAAUUAACAUAUCUACCAUCUUACAUAGUUACAUUUUUUUGUGUGACAGGAACAGCUAAAAUCUACGUAUUUAACAAAAAUCCUAAAGACAAUACAUUUUUAUUAACUAUAGCCCUCAUGAUGUACAUUAGAUCUCUAACUUGAUCAUCCUAUAUGUCUGCUACUUUGUAUUUUCUUAAUGUACGUCUCCCCAUUUGCUAUUGGUCAUUUCCUAUUUGGCUCAUUUUUCAACUGGGUUGUUUUUCCUGUUAUUAAAAGAGUUCUUUACUGAUUUUUGGACACUAACUCUUUAACAGGUAUAUGAUCUGCAAAUAUUUCCUCCAGUCUGUAGGUUCUCUUUUCAUUUUGUUGGUUUUUUCCUUUGCUGUGCAGAAGCUUUUUAGUUUGAUGCAGUCCUCCUUGUUUAUGUUUCCAUUUGUAGCCUGGCUUGUGGUGUGAUAUCCAAAAAAUAAUUGCUAAGGCCAAUGUCAAGAGGCUUUCCCCCUAUGUUCUCUUCUAGGAGUUUUAAGGUUUC